rnacentral:rRNA from 1 species
CCCUCUGGGGUGCAGCAGGCAGAUGAUGAGCCAUAUCCGUUUGCCAUUUACGGCAUUCCCAACUGGAAGGUCAAUCGCGAAAGCCCUGACCCGGGGCGAAAUGGGCAGAAGCACAUCUGGCGCAUCUAUGAUUAUCCGCACAUUGUGCUGCUUUAUCACCGGAUGUAUCAGGUGGCGCGGCUCCAUCCGGAGAUAAAAACCGAGCUCACGGCCGAGGAAUAUUUGCGGCGGGCUUAUCGCACGGCUAUAGCUUAUUUCACCGUGCCGCUCGAGGUCGAGGGCUGGUCAGCUUAUGAGACGCCGACUAUGAAUGAGAUUGUCAUGAAUGAUUUGCUGCGGGCGCUCGAGCGGGAGAGC